rnacentral:rRNA from 1 species
CAGUCGCCGCGGUAAUACGUAGGGUGCAAGCGUUAAUCGGAGUUACUGGGCGUAAAGCGUGCGCAGGCGGUUAUAUAAGUCAGAUGUGAAAUCCCCGGGCUCAACCUGGGAACUGCAUUUGAGACUGUAUGGCUAGAGUGUGUCAGAGGGGGGUAGAAUUCCACGUGUAGCAGUGAAAUGCGUAGAUAUGUGGAGGAAUACCGAUGGCGAAGGCAGCCCCCUGGGAUAACACUGACGCUCAUGCACGAAAGCGUGGGGAGCAAACAGGAUUAGAUACCCCAGUAGUCCCUGUCUCUUAUAC